rnacentral:rRNA from 1 species
CAGCAGCCACGGUAAUACGAAGGGGGCUAGCGUUGUUCGGAUUUACUGGGCGUAAAGCGCACGUAGGCGGAUUUUUAAGUCAGGGGUGAAAUCCCGGGGCUCAACCCCGGAACUGCCUUUGAUACUGGAAGUCUUGAGUAUGAUAGAGGUGAGUGGAAUUCCGAGUGUAGAGGUGAAAUUCGUAGAUAUUCGGAGGAACACCAGUGGCGAAGGCGGCUCACUGGACCAUUACUGACGCUGAGGUGCGAAAGCGUGGGGAGCAAACAGGAUUAGAUACCCCAGUAGUCCCUGUCUCUUAUAC